GAAAAGCUGAUGGGCAGGCGAGAGUGAAUGCACGUUUAACUGACAUGAAUGCAGGCCAUGUGACAACAGCAAUGGCGUACAUGAGAAGGCGCCACAACGACCAUGAGGACAGCAGAAUCUAUAAACAACGGAUUUGUGUUAUCAAAUAACUGGACAUCCGACGGAUUUUCCUUUCCUGAUAUUACUGCUUACAUGGGAGAAAACAAUGGAAGCUGCAGUUAGUGAUUUCAAACAUUGGUGUGAUGAAAACCAUUACCAGCGCAAUAAUUAAUCUGAUGUAGAUCAAUCCUUGUACGUACCCCACCCCACACGACCGACUACCGCCUAUUCCAAAAAUAUCCUGAGCUAUGAUUGCAAGUGGAAUAUAUAUAGGCCUAUACGCUCAGUACACAUCAAUAUCCACCCGGCCUGGUAAGCGAGGGAUUGAAAAGGAUUGUUGCUUGGAUGGCAUCUGCUUCGGGUGGUUGUUUUCAUAAAGCUGUUCGUAAGUUAAGAGCGAUUUUAAGCACGACUGGUGAAACACUUUUACGCGCUAAAUAAUAUAAUUUACCGCAAGAAAGGAUCACCAAUCCUUCUUAAAGUCACUCCUAUCUUACAAACAGCUUUAUGAAACGACCCCCAGGAUUCAUAAGGAGGUGAUGACGGAUCAAGUGGAUAGGAGAAUGUUGCUUGGAUUCAUCAGUAGGUGAUGACGGAUCAGGUGGAUAGGAGAAUGUUGCUUGGAUUCAUCAGUAGGUGAUGGCGGAUCAAGUGGAUAGGAGAAUGUUGCUUAGAUUCAUCAGUAGGUGAUGGCGGGUCAGGUGGAUAGGAGAAUGUUGCUUGGAUUCAUCAGUAGGUGAUGGCGGAUCAGGUGGAUAGGAGAAUGUUGCUUGGAUUCAUCAGUAGGUGAUGGCGGAUCAGGUGGAUAGGAGAAUGUUGCUUGGAUUCAUCAGUAGGUGAUGGCGGAUCAGGAGGAUAGGAGAAUGUUGCUUGGAUUCAUCAGUAGGUGAUGGCGGAUCAGGUGGAUUGGAGAAUGUUGCUUAGAUUCAUCAGUAGGUGAUGGUGGAUCAGGAGGAUAGGAGAAUGUUGCUUGGAUUCAUCAGUAGGUGAUGGCGGAUCAGGUGGAUUGGAGAAUGUUGCUUGGAUUCAUCAGUAGGUGAUGGUGGAUCAGGAGGAUAGGAGAAUGUUGCUUGGAUUCAUCAGUAGGUGAUGGCGGAUCAGGUGGAUUGGAGAAUGUUGCUUGGAUUCAUCAGUAGGUGAUGGUGGAUCAGGAGGAUAGGAGAAUGUUGCUUGGAUUCAUCAGUAGGUGAUGGCGGAUCAGGUGGAUUGGAGAAUGUUGCUUAGAUUCAUCAGUAGGUGAUGGUGGAUCAGGAGGAUAGGAGAAUGUUGCUUGGAUUCAUCAGUAGGUGAUGGCGGAUCAGGUGGAUUGGAGAAUGUUGCUUGGAUUCAUCAGUAGGUGAUGGUGGAUCAGGAGGAUAGGAGAAUGUUGCUUGGAUUCAUCAGUAGGUGAUGGCGGAUCAGGUGGAUUGGAGAAUGUUGCUUAGAUUCAUCAGUAGGUGAUGGUGGAUCAGGAGGAUAGGAGAAUGUUGCUUGGAUUCAUCAGCUUCAGGAUUCAUCAGACAGCGCGGGUCAGGUGGAUAGGCGAACAAUGAUGAUUGUAUAACAUCUAUAAUUAUGAUCUUAUGCCAUGCUUACUGUGAGACGAAGUCUGGUGUUGACCGGUCAAUUCUCAUUUAUCAUGAGAAGGAUUAGAAUGUGUAUGAUGGGAGUUAGGUCGACCAAUAUAAUGCCCUCCCAUACCGAUACCAUGGUUGGACAGUUCACCUGUUGCAGUUCCAUCAUGUUGAGGGGUUGAUCCAGUUGGUUCCAUCGGAUCGAGCCCGAUGGACUUUACGUUAUGUGACGGGAAUGUUCCCCUUGUACUACAAUAGGAAUCGAAAACAUUUCAACUAAGUCAGAUCCGCUUUUCACAUGUGCGAUAUUGUUAACAAACCUCCUUAUCUAUUUUGUUUUAUUGCGUUAUUUAAAUCAACAUAAAGAGCGAGGUACAUGUAACAGUACAUUCCUUUACUUUUCAUGUUAAGGCCACCGCACACCUUACGGUCUGGUCCAAGAUCCUAUUUUGGAAUAAAUCGCCUUUUGCUCAUUUUCUGAAAAUAUAAUGAAAAAUAUAUUUUUAUUUGAGGUUCGAAUUAACUGAAAGAAUACUAAUAUAACAGUUUUGGAUGAUCGAAAGGCUUUUUUUAAUUUUUAUUAAAGGCCAAAUUAGUUUCAAUUCCUAGCCAAUUGUACGAUUGUGAUGACGCCAUUACGACUAGAUGUUAAAAUUUCGCUUUUAUUCUAAUAAGGAUGAUAGCAUAGUCACAGAUUUGAACAUAGCUAUUCGUACGAUGAUUGCGAACAUUACACAGCUAGUAAGAUAUUUCAUGUCUCAAUAUCAGCAUCAAAUUUUACUACGUUUUAUUCCAAAAUCGGGUCGCAGACCAAUCGUCAGGUGUGCGGUGGCCUUUAGGGAAAAUUUGCAUUCUUUUAGUAUGGUUUAACCUAAUGUUCCUUAUAAGGGGGAGAUAUUCAGUCAUUUUCCACGUCAAACAUAUUAUCGUUUAAGGCUUAUAUUUUUAGUUUGGGCAGAAACACAAGUUGUGGCCUUUCUCAUAAAGACCUAUUUUCACAGGGAUCUUAUGGACUUUUUGCGGGGGUUUUUGCAAGGAAACGAAUGUCAUCAUUUGCAUCGGUGCUUCCACAACUUAAAACCAAAUUUCCCGAAUCUAAACUCCAAAUCUUCCGGAAUGCGGGAAAUUUCGUUCAAAUUAAUUGUGCGCCAAACGAGCGCGAUUAAUUAAGCUCGCAAAUCGUUCGCGGAAGUCACUUGGAAUCUUAUCUUGUUAUUUGCUAGAAAUGUUAAUAGAAAAAAUGCUUGCGAUUUUGCAUUCGCGUCUUAAAAUCUUCUUAAAUGUUCGCAAGCCCUGUGAAAAUAAUUAGGGAAUACUCAUUGAAGGUGAAUGUUUCAAAUCUAGUCUUUAAAGCAAAGCUCGAAAAACUUCGAUCCUCGCAAAAAUAAUUCCCUCAAAAUCACAAAAAAGAAAAGUCAGAAUUUUUGUAAUACAAAAAGUAAAUGCACGAGAAAUGGACGGUUAGGAUGUGAAUAUCCCAAAAUUACUUUCAAUGCGUGUCCUAUAAAUUUUUCCCUGUAUCUUUCUAAUAUUCUAAAGGAGUUAUUUUUAGAUUUAAACAAACAAAAAACGACAAAUGGAGGACAAAAAUAAAUUCCAUAUUUGAAAGUUGAUGGCUGAAACAACGCCAAAUUCAAAUUUUACCGUUUCAAAUGUACAAUGUAGUUAAUUUGAUUUUAGGAUACUAUCAUUUCCCAUAGCUUAUUUAAUAAACAGCAUACCGUAAUAAUAUAAGUAGGGCAAUUCCGUAAGAUAAUCCGACCCCCAUUUUUUCGAAUUUUACUUCACUUUACAAACUGACUUAACUAAAUCAAGGUCAUUUGAGAGCACUGCAGCCUGUCAUUGAGGAACCAGAAUUCGCAGACAGAAAAUUUCAUGAAGGUCUCACAUACAUGGGGUCUGACGUACAUAUCUUAUGUCGCCCUUUCACACGGUAAAAAAUCGUAAUUUGAAUGAUGAUUCCAGUGAAAAACAAAGCCAAUGACGAAUAUUUAGCACGUGUGAAACAAAACUAAAAAAUGAUUAGAAUUACGAACGCUAAUCACAGCCAGUAUUACAAUAGCAUCAUUACAAUGAUUCAAGAUUCACGUGUGAAAAGGCCCAUGGAAUUGCCCAGUAGUAUCUUCUGUUUUCAUCAUAUGCUUCCAAUGUAUUCCCCAGAAACCUUUUUUUAAAAGUGAAAGUGGUAGGCCAAUUUUUUUUUCUGAAGUGCACUUGGUAAAUUAUACGAAUUGUAAGUUCCUCUGACAAUGUUAUUUGGGCAGAGUUUUAGAAUUAGUUUAGAAUUAGUUAAUUUUGUCUUCUCUCUCAAUGCAAAAGAGCUAAUCUUGGGCCCAUUUCAUCAAGAGUUAUUAUCUAUUAUAUCUUUAUCAUUAUGGCAACUACCUUGGAAAUCUUGAUAGUGAUUGGCUGUUGAGCCCCGUUACCAUGGUAGUUGACAUAAAGGCAACGUUACAUGAAACCGGCCGCUGGUUCCUAAUCUCACUCUUCUUGGGGGUGAUGCGAGGUACCAAUCCCUGUACAUCCUUAUAGAGUGUAUUAUAGCUCUUUGUGGAAUAAAUUGUGUAUUUUAUAAAGACAUUUUCACUUGCCAAAGUAAAAUCCACUCUCAAAAAGAUGCCAAUCUCACUCCAAAAGAGAGUGAUUAUUUCGAGGAGUGUGAUUUGGGACCAGGUUAGCUUUGUUUUGUAUUUAGAGAGUGGACCAUUAAAUGAUCUGUUGUUACUCCUC